CCUACGGGAGGCAGCAGUGAGGAAUAUUGGUCAAUGGGCGAGAGCCUGAACCAGCCAAGUCGCGUGAGGGAGUACUGCCCUAUGGGUUGUAAACCUCUUUUGUCGGGGAGCAAAAGCCGGACGUGUCCGGCUGUGAGAGUACCCGAAGAAAAAGCAUCGGCUAACUCCGUGCCAGCAGCCGCGGUAAUACGGAGGAUGCGAGCGUUAUCCGGAUUUAUUGGGGUUAAAGGGUGCGCAGGCGGAUUUUUAAUUCAGCGGUCAAAUCGUGGGGCUCAACCCCAUCCAGCCGUUGAAACUGGGGAUCUAGAGUGUGCGAGAGGUAUGCGGAAUGCGUGGUGUAGCGGUGAAAUGCAUAGAUAUCACGCAGAACCCCGAUUGCGAAGGCAGCAUACCGGUGCACAACUGACGCUCAGGCACGAAAGCGUGGGUAUCGAACAGGAUUAGAUACCCUUGUAGUC
rnacentral:rRNA from 1 species